AAGAGAUCUCCCUAAGUUGCCAUUUCAUUAUGAGGUUAAAACUGCAUUGGAACACUUCUGCUCACAUCUAAUAAAUAAGCAGACAGAAUACCUAAGCUACUGGCGUUCUCUGCUCAGUGCCCUGCAGCUGCUGAAAAUAAUGAUACAGCCCCAAAGUCACCCUGUAUAUUGGGAUGAGCUAUGCAACACACUUGGUCCUUUCUUAGCUGUACUGAAUAGUUUAGCCACUAGAAAAUUUCAUCCUUCAACAGCCUCUGAUAAUGGUGAUCAACAUAGUAAUUUAUUUUCUGUCAGCAUAACUGAAGUUCUUUUCCUUAUAGGGAAGGCAAAAGAAAUGUGGAUACCUUAUAGGAGAUAACUGGAAGACUGGUGUUUGGAGAGAGAAUAGCCGAAGAUGAAGCUCUGUGGGCAGUUCUGAUUACAGACAAAGCAAGAAAGGCAGUGUACUUCCAGCCCCUUAUGAUUCUAAAGAGCUCUGUUGAAUAACAGACUGCACCGUCUCCAUCAAAGAUCCAUGAAGGUGAAUGCUUCACUGCCAGAAAUACUUAUUUAUAUAUGUGUAUUCUGAACCAUAAAGAGAACUAGGGCUUAUUACAGUCUUUGCUUUAAUCUUUACUUUAAUUUUUGAACAGCUAGGUGGUGCUGCUUGAAUAUUUAGUAUUUAUUUACUAUUUAGUAUCAUAAUGUUAAGUUGAAGAUGUUAACUCAGAUGUAUCAGAUACAGAGAAAAUGCAAAUUUAUUGCAUGUCCCAAAUGGAUUAUAAUGGAAGUAAAAGGGUACACAUUCUCUGCACUUCACCUACUUCUUCAUUCUGUUAGGCCUGGUAAAGCCGCAGCUGUAUUGUUUCCAAUACUCAAAUGAACUAAUUAAAAAUUUGUAGUGUUUUUGUUGUGUAAUACUCUGUGAUGUAGUUACACGUGUGAAAGUGAUGAUGAUGGAGAGACACUGAGAGGUGUCAGUGAGCUGGGCCAGAAUAGGAGGCAAUGAGCAGACGAAGCUGCUGAGCUGUUCUUUGAAUGGUCACAGCAACAGGGGGUUAUAAAUAGGAUGUAAUAGGCAAUGUAAAACAGUGAAAUAGGUGUGUGUAGGGGGGCACAAUGGGAGAAAUUUUGGAGAAAUAUCCCUAUUGAGUAAUGUAAGA
rnacentral:lncRNA from 1 species